CCUACGGGGCGCAGCAGUGGGGAAUAUUGCACAAUGGGGGAAACCCUGAUGCAGCAACGCCGCGUGAGUGAAGAAGUAUUUCGGUAUGUAAAGCUCUAUCAGCAGGGAAGAAGAAAGACGGUACCUGACUAAGAAGCCCCGGCUAACUACGUGCCAGCAGCCGCGGUAAUACGUAGGGGGCAAGCGUUAUCCGGAUUUACUGGGUGUAAAGGGAGCGUAGACGGCUGUGCAAGUCUGAAGUGAAAUGCCGGGGCCCAACCCCGGAACUGCUUUGGAAACUGUGCGGCUCGAGUGCGGGAGAGGAG
rnacentral:rRNA from 1 species